rnacentral:rRNA from 1 species
GACGAACGCUGGCGGCGUGCCUAACACAUGCAAGUCGAACGGGAAUUACCAUGAAGUUUACUUCGAGGUAAUUCUAGUGGCGGACGGGUGAGUAACGCGUGAGCAACCUGCCUUUCAGAGGGGGACAACAGCUGGAAACGGCUGCUAAUACCGCAUGAUAUAUAAGAACCGCAUGGUUUUUAUAUCAAAGAUUUAUCGCUGAAAGAUGGGCUCGCGUCUGAUUAGCUAGUUGGUGAGGUAACGGCUCACCAAGGCAACGAUCAGUAGCCGGACUGAGAGGUUGAACGGCCACAUUGGGACUGAGAUACGGCCCAG